UUACACAUGCUACUUGAGCGGAGAGAGAGUAACUUGCUGCUCAUCUUAUCGCCAGAGGGGUGAGUAAUGCUUAUGAAUCUGCCUCUUAUUGUGGGAGAACAUAUUCCAAAGGAAUAGCUAAUACCGCAUACGUCCUACAGGAAAAAGCGAGGGAUCUUCAGACCUUGCGCUUAUACAUGAGCCUAAGUCGGAUUAGCUAUUAUGGUGGUGGAAAGGCCUACGAAGGCCACGAUCUGUAUCGGGACUGAGACGAAGAUCCUGCACACUGGGACUGAAACUGAGACCAGACUCCUACUCCAAGCGGCGGUGGCGAAGAUUGUACUUUGGGCGCGAGCCUGAUCCUGCCCUGCCCCUUGUGUGAGGAAGGCCAUAGGGUUGUGAAUUCACUUUAACUUUGGAGGAGGCUACUUUACUUAAUACUUAGACCUAGUGGACGUGACUCGCACAAGAAACACAGCCUAACUCUGUGUCUUCACCCCCGGUAAGGCAAAGGGAGCGAUCGUUAAUUUGAUUUAAUGUACGCAAAGCGCGCGCAGGCGGCUAGGUCACUCAAUGUGAAAUUCAGACCUUAACUUGGGAAUUGCAUUCCAAGUGGUUAGCUAUAGUGUGUGAGAGCAUCCUAAAAUUCCA
rnacentral:rRNA from 1 species